rnacentral:rRNA from 1 species
CGGAUGCGGAUCUCGAAAGCCUGUCCCAGUUCGGACNGGAGUCUGCAACCCCGACUCCACGAAGUUGGAUUCGCUAGUAAUCGCGCAUCAGCCAUGGCGCGGUGAAUACGUUCCCGGGCCUUGUACACACCGCCCGUCAAGCCAUGGGAGCCGGGGGCGCCUGAAGUCCGGGACCGCGAGGACCGGCCUAGGGCGAAACUGGUAACUGGGGCUAAGUCGUAACAAGGUAAC